rnacentral:rRNA from 1 species
UUUCCGUAGGUGAACCUGCGGAAGGAUCAUUAUUGAAAUAAACCUGAUGAGUUGCUGCUGGCUCUCUAGGGAGCAUGUGCACGCUUGUCAUCUUUAUAUCUCCACCUGUGCACCUUUUGUAGAUCUGGAUAUCUUUCUGAAUGCCCUGGCAUUCAGGUUUGAGGAUUGAUUUUCGUCUUUCCUUACAUCUCCAGGCCUAUGUUUUCUUCAUAUACCCCAUGUAUGUUAUAGAAUGUAAUGAAAUGGGCCUUUGUGCCUACAAACCUAUACAACUUUCAGCAACGGAUCUCUUGGCUCUCGCAUCGAUGAAGAACGCAGCGAAAUGCGAUAAGUAAUGUGAAUUGCAGAAUUCAGUGAAUCAUCGAAUCUUUGAACGCACCUUGCGCUCCUUGGUAUUCCGAGGAGCAUGCCUGUUUGAGUGUCAUUAAUAUAUCAACCUCCUCAAGUUUUUACUUGUUGAGUGUUUGGAUGUGGGGGUAUUUUUUGCUGGUCUCUUAUGAGGUCGGCUCCCCUAAAAUGCAUUAGCGGAACAAUUUUGUUGACCGUUCAUUGGUGUGAUAACUAUCUACGCUAUUGACGUGAAGCAUGUUCAGCUUCUAACAGUCCAUUGACUUGGACAAAUUUUCAUUAAUGUGACCUCAAAUCAGGUAGGACUACCCGCUGAACUUAA